CAGCCGCCGCGGUAAAACGGAGGGUGCAAGCGUUAAUCGGAAUUACUGGGCGUAAAGCGCACGCAGGCGGUCUGACAAGUCAGAUGUGAAAUCCCCGGGCUUAACCUGGGAACUGCAUUUGAAACUGUCAGGCUGGAGUCUUGUAGAGGGGGGUGGAAUUCCAGGUGUAGCGGUGAAAUACGUAGAGAUCUGGAGGAAUACCGGUGGCGAAGGCGGCCCCCUGGACAAAGACUGACGCUCAGGUGCGAAAGCGUGGGGAGCAAACAGGAUUAGAUACCCCUGUAGUCCCUGUCUCUUAUAC
rnacentral:rRNA from 1 species